GACGGGGGGUCCUAGCGUUGUUCGGAAUCAUUGGGCGUAAAGCGUGUGCAGGUGGUUUGGUAAGUUGGAUGUGAAAGCCUUGGGCUUAACCCGAGAAGUGCAUUCAAAACUACCAGACUUGAGUAUGGAAGAGGGUCGUGGAAUUCCGCAUGUAGUGGUGAAAUACGUAGAUAUGCGGAGGAACACCGGCGGCGAAGGCGGCGACCUGGUCCUAUACUGACACUCAUACACGAAAGCGUGGGGAUCAAA
rnacentral:rRNA from 1 species